rnacentral:rRNA from 1 species
AGUAGCAUACUGAGUCGCAGACGUUGAGUAUAAUGUGGGAAUCUGCCUUUUGGUUUGGAAUAACACGGGGAAACUUGUGCUAAUACCGAAUAAGCCUUUACAGGGAAAGUUUUAACGCCGAAAGAUGAGCCCGCACUUGAUUAGCUAGUUGGUAAGGUAAAAGCUUACCAAGGCAAUGAUCAAUAGCUGUUCUUAGAGGAAGACCAGCCACAUUGGGACUGAGACACGGCCCAGACUCCUACGGGAGGCAGCAGUGGGGAAUCUUGCACAAUGGGGGAAACCCUGAUGCAGCGAUGCCGCGUGAGUGAAGAAGGCCUUUGGGUUGUAAAACUCUUUCGUCGGGGAAGAAAAUGACUGUACCCGAAUAAGAAGGUCCGGCUAACUUCGUGCCAGCAGCCGCGGUAAUACGAAGGGACCUAGCGUAGUUCGGAAUUACUGGGCUUAAAGAGCUCGUAGGUGGUUAAAAAAGUUGAUGGUGAAAUCCCAAGGCUCAACCUUGGAACUGCCAUCCAAACUUUUCAGCUAGAGUGUGAUAGAGGUAAGUGGAAUUUCUAAUGUAGAGGUGACAUUCGACAGAUAUUAGAAAGAACACCAAAUGCAACGGCACUUUACUGGGUCACUACCUGACCCUGAGGAGCGAAAGGUGGGUUGCGAAGAGGAUAAAUUCCCCGUAAUCCAUGCGGCAA